rnacentral:rRNA from 1 species
GUCGAGCGGACAGAUGGGAGCUUGCUCCCUGAUGUUAGCGGCGGACGGGUGCAGGUACACGUGGGUAACCUGCCUGUAAGACUGGGAUAACUCCGGGAAACCGGGGCUAAUACCGGAUGGUUGUUUGAACCGCAUGGUUCAGACAUAAAAGGUGGCUUCGGCUACCACUUACAGAUGGACCCGCGGCGCAUUAGCUAGUUGGUGAGGUAACGGCUCACCAAGGCRACGAUGCGUAGCCGACCUGAGAGGGUGAUCGGCCACACUGGGACUGAGACACGGCCCAGACUCCUACGGGAGGCAGCAGUAGGGAAUCUUCCGCAAUGGACGAAAGUCUGACGGAGCAACGCCGCGUGAGUGAUGAAGGUUUUCGGAUCGUAAAGCUCUGUUGUUAGGGAAGAACAAGUGCCGUUCAAAUAGGGCGGCACCUUGACGGUACCUAACCAGAAAGCCACGGCUAACUACGUGCCAGCAGCCGCGGUAAUACGUAGGUGGCAAGCGUUGUCCGGAAUUAUUGGGCGUAAAGGGCUCGCAGGCGGUUUCUUAAGUCUGAUGUGAAAGCCCCCGGCUCAACCGGGGAGGGUCAUUGGAAACUGGGGAACUUGAGUGCAGAAGAGGAGAGUGGAAUUCCACGUGUAGCGGUGAAAUGCGUAGAGAUGUGGAGGAACACCAGUGGCGAAGGCGACUCUCUGGUCUGUAACUGACGCUGAGGAGCGAAAGCGUGGGGAGCGAACAGGAUUAGAUACCCUGGUAGUCCACGCCGUAAACGAUGAGUGCUAAGUGUUAG